rnacentral:rRNA from 1 species
AAGCGCUUGCGAUCAGUCUCGACGGCGGCCGUUCGGCCUCUCUUCUGAGUGGUUUACUCGGUCGCCGCCGGGCCAGCAUCAGUUCUGGCGGUCGGACAAAGGCGGCGGGAAUGUGGCCCCUCGGGGUGUUAUAGCCCGCCGCGCAAUGCGGCCAGCCGGGACUGAGGUCCGCGAUUCGUCUAGGAUGCUGGCAAAAUGGUCGU